UGCACCGGCGCGGGGACGUCUCAGUUUGACUGAUCAUAUUGUCCACGGCUCCACACACAACACACCAACCUGUGAUGAUCUCCUGGCUGCUUUGGUGAAGUUCUUACCUCUACGCAGCAAGGGCAGCCCUUAGGUGAAUUCGCCAGAUGUUCAGAGGCCCUGCUCUUCUCCCCGGCCUCAUUUAAGCCCCAUGCCAGAAAGGAGAAGGGUGAGCCCUGGGUUAGUGGGUGCUAACACAUUGCAACUGACAUCUUGUUUGAAUGACUUCUCUUUGCUGCUCUUUUUUUUUUUUUUUUUU